UGCUAAACAAGUCACCGUCUACAUUACUGACAGAGCAACUGCUCCUAAACAAGUCACCGUCUACAUUACUGAGAGAGCAACUGCUGCUAAACAAUUCACCGUCUACAUUACUGAGAGCAACUGCUGCUAAACAAGUCACCGUCUACAUUACUGAGAGAGCAACUGUUGAUAAACGAGUCAUUGUCUAUCUUACCGAUAGAGCAACUGUUAAUAAACAAGUUGCUGUCUACAUUACUGAGAGAGCAACUGUUAAUAAACAACUCCGUGUUUACCUCAUUGACAGAGCAACUGUUAUUAAACAAGUCAUUGUACAUUACUGAGAGAGCAAUUUACCAAAUAAGUUGCUUUCUACAUUAACGUCAAAGCAACUGGUAAUAUACAAGUUGCUCUCCACCUUAUUGACAGAGCAUCUGUUGAUAAACAAAACACUGUCUACAUUACUCACAGAGCAACUGUUAAUAAAUCAUCCCCAGUUUGCCCCUGAAGAAGAAAGGUCCACCUUUCAAAAGUGCUCGAGUUAUAGGGUUUUUAUUCAUUUCUGUGAAUAAACAAGUCACUGUCAACAUUACUGACAUAGCAACUCUUAAUAAACAAGUCACUGUCUACAUUACUGAGAUAGCAGCUCUUAAUAAACCAGUCACUGUCCACCUUAUUGAUAGAGCAACUGUUGAUAAACAAGUCAUUGUCAACAUUACUGUCACAGCAACUGUUAAUAAACAAGUCGCUGUCUACAUUACUGAUAGAGCAACUUUUAAUAAACAAGUCACUGCUUACAUUACUGAUAGAGCAACUGUGAAUAAACAAGUCGCUGUCUACAUUACUGAUAGAGCAACUUUUAAUAAACAAGUCACUGCUUACAUUACUGAUAGAGCAACUGUUAAUAAACAAGUCACUGCUUACAUUACUGAUAGAGCAACUUUUGAUGAAGAAGUCCCCGUCUACUUUACUGACAGAGUAGCUGUUAAUAAAGAAGUCUCUGUCUACGUUACUGACAGAGUAGCUGUUGAUAAACCAGUCACUGUCUUCAUUACUGUCAGAGCCUUGAACUGUUAGUAAACAAGUCCUGGGUUAUUUUACAGAAACUUGAAGAAGGAAGAACCACUAUUAGAUCUGGAGACCACAAUCACUUCUGCUGAUCACCAGUCAGAAUUUGAACAGUUAAUAGAUAUUUCUAAUGCCAGUUCCACUCAACAUCACAUGGAGAACUUGCUGAACAAUGCUGAUCAGCUCAACUCCAACAGAGUUACUCCCAUCAUAGCCUUUGAAGAAGUUACUCGAAAACAGGAGGACACUGAUGCCUGAUCUCCUUUCUUAAUGACUGUACUCUAGAAAAAUCUUAACUGAACAAGUAGGAGGUUCUUGGACAGGAUGGGGUGAAGCUAGAACUGCUUUAUUGUCAUCAUCAAAACUAGAUGACUUAGGAUCAAAAUGGAGAAGGACAGACAGUAAAGAGCCAAUGAGUUUGUGUAAUGUUGAGAUGCCGGAUGGUUGUAGAUUGUGAAAGAAUAUCCCUUGCUCAGUGACCUGUCAUUUUCAAGUUAGCUCUAAUGUUUAAAUGUAUCGUUAUAUUUGUACAGUCUUCUCAGUAAGUCAGUUGUUGUGGCCAACCACACACCUUAAAAUAUUUAAUUUAAAUGGAUUUCAGAAAGUUUUUCUUUCUUUUUUAGAAGUGCAGAAAAACCAAACAAGUAAUUAAUUAGCUUUAGUCAUUCAGUUAUUGAGAACAAUGACCAAUCAGUGUGAUUUACUUAUUGCUCAUUUUACUUCAUUCACACAUUAAGUAUUACUGUUUAUUUAUCUUGUGGAAUGUGGUUUAAAGGAUUGUAAAAAUUAAUAUGAGAAGAUAUGGGGUGGUUUUCUUUUUUACACUUUUGUAUUGGUUCUGCUUUUGCUGUUUAACAGCUGGGAUCUGUAUUUUUCUAGCAGUUAGACUCGCAUCUGAACAGCACAUCAUUGAUUGCAGAUGAAGAAUAUCACGUAUGGUGGUUUAGAAAAGAUUAGUUUUAUUUACUUCUCUAAAGUACAGCAAGUAACUGGGUUCCAUCAACCUGCUUUGUAGUUCUAAUUUUCUCAGAGAUGAGGGUUAGGUUAAACUACCAUCAGUGUUAAAUGUAAUACAGAAUUUUAAGGUGGUUUCCAUAAUGAAUUCUAACACUUUUACUUAGAAAAUUGUUGUGAAAUUUUGUGUGAUCCCCUUAUUCCUCCCUUAGUUUAGGAGGAGUUGUCAUGGCAACAGAUAUAAUGUGUAUAAUAAUUAGUAAAUAAACUGUACUAACUAAA